CGUGGCCUUAACCUUUCUUUAACGAAAUUAAACCUCUUGUUUUGCACCCAAUUCUGUGUUGCUGACCACUAGCCUGUUGUAAAUCCACUGACACAGCUUAGAAUUGGGGUGCCAGUUGUUGCAUUCCUCAAACAACUUUAUUAAAAGGACCGUUGACGUCUUGCUGUAGGCUAUUGCCUUUUUGACUGCGAUCUAAUCUAAUAAUGACGCAGGUGACGUCCACAUCCCUCCUACACCUCUUCCAGUUCAGUCCUGAUAUAUGGUGUGCCUCCCUCUACUUCUCAGACUACAAGAGUCCAGCUACCGCAGCAGAACCCACACAACCGCUCCUACACACACGGAUGGAGAACGGGAGCUGGCUUGGCGGUGAUGUGGUUAGACUUUGUGCUCUAUUUAUCAGCUCUUUCUUAGGUCAUUUCUACGGGGAGAAAAUCUAAGUCUUCCAUGAUGAAACUGGUGUUUGUUUUUGCCGUGGUUGCGUAUUUCUUUGCAGAACAUCUAGCACUUCCCGUUGGAGAAGAACGACAGCGAGAGGAUGUGGUAACACGGUGCUUGGUUGAGGUCCUGUCCAAGGCGUUGACCAAACCUGACUCUCACCCUCUGGAUCAGGAAUGUAAAGAUAUUCUCAAAGCAGGUGCCCAACAUGCUGCUCCUGUGGAGAAGAAAAGUGAUGAGGUGCUGACUAAUGAAGAGGAGGGCAAAGAACAUGAACCUGAGGCACCAGGAGCCGACGUGAAAGACAUCGAGGCCCUCUUGAAGUCUGUGGAGGAGAAGAGGGAGACACCGGAGGACGAAGAUCGCAGCCAGGAGUCAUGGGACCUCAACUACGAGAAGGAGAAAAGGAUUUGGAAACCAACACACAGGUAUCAUUAUAAGAAACCCAAUCACAAACGUGAUGAGGAGGUUUCUGAAGAAGUGAGAGAAGAGCCAGACGAAGAACGUAGUCAGGAAUCCUGGAGCCUGGGCGAUGAGAAGGAGAAGAGAUAUAGGCCUACCUAUCGGUACACCACCAAAAAACACCACAAACGAGACGAAGAGGGUUUAGAGGAAGAGAGAGAAGAGCCAGAAGAGGAACGUAGUCAGGAAUCCUGGAGCCUGGGCGAUGAGAAGGAGAAGAGAUAUAGGCCUACCUAUCGGUACACCCCCAAAAAACACCCCAAACGAGACGAAGAGGGUUUAGAGGAAGAGAGAGAAGAGCCAGAAGAGGAACGUAGUCAGGAAUCCUGGAGCCUGGGCGAUGAGAAGGAGAAGAGAUAUAGGCCUACCUAUCGGUACACCCCAAAGAAACACCACAAACGAGACGAAGAAGACGAAGAGCGCAGUCAAGAGUCCUGGAGUCUGGGCGAUGAGAAAGAAAAGAGAGAGGAGGAUGAUGAGGAAAGAAAGAAGAGGAUCUGGAAACCCACCCAUCGGUACCACCACAAGAAGCACCACAAACGCAGUGAAGAUCCUUCAGAGGAAGAGGAGGAGGAGAAAGAUAAGAGAAUUUGGAAACCCACACACAGAUAUCACCACAAGAAACACCACAAACGAGGUGCUGACUCAUCGGACGAGGAAUCAGAGGAGAAGAGAUCAGAAGAGUCAGAGGAAGAGGAGGAAGAGGAUAGAGAGAAGAGAAUCUGGAAGCCCACACACAGAUACCACCACAAAAAACACCACAAACGUGAUGAGGAGCUUUCAGAAGAAGGGAGAGAGGAGCCAGAUGAAGAACGCAGCCAAGAGUCCUGGAGUCUGGGUGAUGGAAAGGAGAAGAGAGAUGAGGAUAUGAUGAGAGAUGAGGAUGAGAGAGAAAAGAGGAUUUGGAAACCAACUCACAGGUACCACCACAAGAAGCAUCACAAACGCAAUGGGGAUUCCUCAGAGGAGGAAGACGAGGAACGAAGGAGUGAUUCGGACGAACACGAGGAGGAGAAGAGGCAUGGAGAUGCCGAGGAGGACGAGAGACAGAGGGAUAGGCAGGAGGCUCUGAGGUACCUGGCAGAGAAGAGUCGUCUCCUGGGGGAGGGUGAGGUGUAUGAGAAACGUUCUCCCUGGGCUUACAGAGGAUACUACCACCCCGCCUGGUGGAAGAGAAGCAUAGACCCACACACACCAUUGCAUAAGAUGGAGGAACUGGCGAAGUUGCUGUCCUAUAAGAAUCACCAGCUGGCCAGCCAAUCAGAGCUGGCAGACGAGGAAAAGAAGAGGAGCGUAUCUCUAACCCCAGAGGAGGAGAAGGAGCUGGAGAACAUAGCAGCUAUGGACAUGGAGUUACAGAAGAUAUCUGAGAAGAUGCAGGAGGACAGGAGUGACUAGAUAGACAGGCAGAGGCAUGCAGACAGGGAUGCUAAGAUACACAAGGUUAGCACACUGAGAUAGUAACAAAAGACUAGAGAGAGAUAGACUGACCCGUCAGCGUUCCGGACAAAAAAACACUAACAUCCAAGAGCCUUGCUGCAAAUUCUGCUGUGUUAACCUUUGUACCUGUGAAAUGUUGAUGUUCUCAAAAGAGACUGUUUAGUUAAUAUAUAAGUAUAAUAGUAUAAAGAUAAAGUAGAUGCUUUGCUAAUUUGUCCGGAUAUCUAUAUAUUUAAAGUACGCAUGACAGUUUUGUUCAAACUUUUGAAUGGUUGUUUGUUUGUUCAGUCUGCAUUUAAUAAAAUGAAUUAUUCUGGGACCAAAAUGAACACGUAUCUCAGGAUUUUAAUACCUCAGCAACACAGUUGGUUAUCAAGAGUAAUAGUAUUUUAACAGUACUGUAUUUAUUGAAAUUCCCACUAAUGCAGCACAGUAAGGAGGCUGUGAUAGCAAAAGGCUGCUUUACAUCACGGCACUUUCUGCUAAAAGAGUAUAAAAUACAAACAAAAUGCUACAUUUGGGAGCUUAGAGCUUUGGAGAGCAGCUCCAGGGCUGAAUAACAACCAUGAUCGUUUAUAACUGGUAGCAGGAGGGAGAGACACUUCAGUGAUUCUAUCCCCACCUCCACAAGUACAUGUAAAUCAAGUCAUCAAUGAUUUAAAUUAGACAAACUCUGGGCACCCCUCAAUAGUGUCAUCCCUCUGUGGUCUCUGAGUUCGUCUCUUUGUGGCCGGCUCUUCUGCUGUAGUUGAGCCUGUCUUUAGUUGUAUCUGUAGUAACGGUCAUCCCGGAGAGGAGGCAAGCCCCGCCCCCACUCAUCAGCAGCACAGGGUGGUCCUGUUAGGCAACACCUACACACAGAGACAGUGAGGUCAGAGGUCGUGCAGAUAUAACAAACAUGGACGCUUCCACAGAGACAGUUGUAUAAGACCGCAGUGAACACUACCGGGGUGAACACGACUGCGGUCAACACGACCGCGGUGAACACGACCGGGGUGAACACGACCGGGGUGAACACGACCGUGGUGAACACGACGCGGUGAACACGACCGGGGUGAACACGACAGAGGUGAACACGACCGGGGUGAACACAACAGAGGUGAACACGACCGGGGUGAACACGGCCGCGGUGAACACGGCCGCGGUGAACACGACCGCGGUGAACACGACAGCUGUGA
rnacentral:lncRNA from 13 species